rnacentral:rRNA from 1 species
GGUUAAGCGACUAAGCGUACACGGUGGAUGCCCUGGCAGUCAGAGGCGAUGAAGGACGUGCUAAUCUGCGAUAAGCGUCGGUAAGGUGAUAUGAACCGUUAUAACCGGCGAUUUCCGAAUGGGGAAACCCAGUGUGAUUCGUCACACUAUCAUUAACUGAAUCCAUAGGUUAAUGAGGCGAACCGGGGGAACUGAAACAUCUAAGUACCCCGAGGAAAAGAAAUCAACCGAGAUUCCCCCAGUAGCGGCGAGCGAACGGGGAGCAGCCCAGAGCCUGAAUCAGUGUGUGUGUUAGUGGAAGCGUCUGGAAAGGCGCGCGAUACAGGGUGACAGCCCCGUACACAAAAAUGCACAUACUGUGAGCUCGAUGAGUAGGGCGGGACACGUGGUAUCCUGUCUGAAUAUGGGGGGACCAUCCUCCAAGGCUAAAUACUCCUGACUGACCGAUAGUGAACCAGUACCGUGAGGGAAAGGCGAAAAGAACCCCGGCGAGGGGAGUGAAAAAGAACCUGAAACCGUGUACGUACAAGCAGUGGGAGCCUCUUUAUGGGGUGACUGCGUACCUUUUGUAUAAUGGGUCAGCGACUUAUAUUCUGUAGCAAGGUUAACCGAAUAGGGGAGCCGAAGGGAAACCGAGUCUUAACUGGGCGUUAAGUUGCAGGGUAUAGACCCGAAACCCGGUGAUCUAGCCAUGGGCAGGUUGAAGGUUGGGUAACACUAACUGGAGGACCGAACCGACUAAUGUUGAAAAAUUAGCGGAUGACUUGUGGCUGGGGGUGAAAGGCCAAUCAAACCGGGAGAUAGCUGGUUCUCCCCGAAAGCUAUUUAGGUAGCGCCUCGUGAAUUCAUCUCCGGGGGUAGAGCACUGUUUCGGCAAGGGGGUCAUCCCGACUUACCAACCCGAUGCAAACUGCGAAUACCGGAGAAUGUUAUCACGGGAGACACACGGCGGGUGCUAACGUCCGUCGUGAAGAGGGAAACAACCCAGACCGCCAGCUAAGGUCCCAAAGUCAUGGUUAAGUGGGAAACGAUGUGGGAAGGCCCAGACAGCCAGGAUGUUGGCUUAGAAGCAGCCAUCAUUUAAAGAAAGCGUAAUAGCUCACUGGUCGAGUCGGCCUGCGCGGAAGAUGUAACGGGGCUAAACCAUGCACCGAAGCUGCGGCAGCGACACUAUGUGUUGUUGGGUAGGGGAGCGUUCUGUAAGCCUGCGAAGGUGUACUGUGAGGUAUGCUGGAGGUAUCAGAAGUGCGAAUGCUGACAUAAGUAACGAUAAAGCGGGUGAAAAGCCCGCUCGCCGGAAGACCAAGGGUUCCUGUCCAACGUUAAUCGGGGCAGGGUGAGUCGACCCCUAAGGCGAGGCCGAAAGGCGUAGUCGAUGGGAAACAGGUUAAUAUUCCUGUACUUGGUGUUACUGCGAAGGGGGGACGGAGAAGGCUAUGUUGGCCGGGCGACGGUUGUCCCGGUUUAAGCGUGUAGGCUGGUUUUCCAGGCAAAUCCGGAAAAUCAAGGCUGAGGCGUGAUGACGAGGCACUACGGUGCUGAAGCAACAAAUGCCCUGCUUCCAGGAAAAGCCUCUAAGCAUCAGGUAACAUCAAAUCGUACCCCAAACCGACACAGGUGGUCAGGUAGAGAAUACCAAGGCGCUUGAGAGAACUCGGGUGAAGGAACUAGGCAAAAUGGUGCCGUAACUUCGGGAGAAGGCACGCUGAUAUGUAGGUGAAGCGACUUGCUCGUGGAGCUGAAAUCAGUCGAAGAUACCAGCUGGCUGCAACUGUUUAUUAAAAACACAGCACUGUGCAAACACGAAAGUGGACGUAUACGGUGUGACGCCUGCCCGGUGCCGGAAGGUUAAUUGAUGGGGUUAGCGGUAACGCGAAGCUCUUGAUCGAAGCCCCGGUAAACGGCGGCCGUAACUAUAACGGUCCUAAGGUAGCGAAAUUCCUUGUCGGGUAAGUUCCGACCUGCACGAAUGGCGUAAUGAUGGCCAGGCUGUCUCCACCCGAGACUCAGUGAAAUUGAACUCGCUGUGAAGAUGCAGUGUACCCGCGGCAAGACGGAAAGACCCCGUGAACCUUUACUAUAGCUUGACACUGAACAUUGAGCCUUGAUGUGUAGGAUAGGUGGGAGGCUUUGAAGUGUGGACGCCAGUCUGCAUGGAGCCGACCUUGAAAUACCACCCUUUAAUGUUUGAUGUUCUAACGUUGGCCCCUGAUCGGGGUUGCGGACAGUGUCUGGUGGGUAGUUUGACUGGGGCGGUCUCCUCCUAAAGAGUAACGGAGGAGCACGAAGGUUGGCUAAUCCUGGUCGGACAUCAGGAGGUUAGUGCAAUGGCAUAAGCCAGCUUGACUGCGAGCGUGACGGCGCGAGCAGGUGCGAAAGCAGGUCAUAGUGAUCCGGUGGUUCUGAAUGGAAGGGCCAUCGCUCAACGGAUAAAAGGUACUCCGGGGAUAACAGGCUGAUACCGCCCAAGAGUUCAUAUCGACGGCGGUGUUUGGCACCUCGAUGUCGGCUCAUCACAUCCUGGGGCUGAAGUAGGUCCCAAGGGUAUGGCUGUUCGCCAUUUAAAGUGGUACGCGAGCUGGGUUUAGAACGUCGUGAGACAGUUCGGUCCCUAUCUGCCGUGGGCGCUGGAGAACUGAGGGGGGCUGCUCCUAGUACGAGAGGACCGGAGUGGACGCAUCACUGGUGUUCGGGUUGUCAUGCCAAUGGCACUGCCCGGUAGCUAAAUGCGGAAGAGAUAAGUGCUGAAAGCAUCUAAGCACGAAACUUGCCCCGAGAUGAGUUCUCCCUGACUCCUUGAGAGUCCUGAAGGAACGUUGAAGACGACGACGUUGAUAGGCCGGGCGUGUAAGCGCAGCGAUGCGUUGAGCUAACCGGUACUAAUGAACCGUGAGGCUUAACCUU